GUAUUUCCAUUCACAUCAUGUAUCUCCUCCUCUUAGCUAUAUAGGGUUUUGUAUAUACGUGUCUCCUUCCUCCUUCACUGUAGACAAGCGAGGUCCGCUUUGCUCUCUCUGUGAUCUCCUGUGCUCAAAAUGAAGUGUCUGUUCUUCUUCUUCUUCUUCCUCAUCACCGUCCUGUCUACGUCUUUGCACGUGUCCGUAGCGACUGGAGCUGCGUCCAUCGCGAAGACCAUCGUCGUCAACCGUAGCGGGACCGGGGAUUUCAGAAGCAUCCAGGAGGCGAUCAACUCCGUCCCCGACUUCAACAACCAGUGGAUAAAGACGUCGAUAAAGAAGGUGGUGAUAAGCGCUUACAAGAGCUACAUCCUACUCGAAGGAGAGGGAGCGCAGAAGACGUCGAUCGAGUGGGGCGAUUACGCCAGCGACUCCGGCGGCCACGACACCGCCAGCAGCGGAACGUUCACGUCGUAUGCUUCGAACAUUGUUGUUGCAGGGAUAACCUUCAAGAACACAUACGAUGGAUACAGCCAAAUGAAGCAAGCGAUGGCGGCGAUGAUAUCAGGAGACAAGUCGUCACUAUACUCAUGCAGCUUCAUCGGGUAUCAGGACACUCUCGCUGAUUUGUUGGGAAGACACUACUUCAAAGGUUGCUACAUUCAAGGCGUGACAUUUCCUACAUCGACAAGGAAGGAUGGCUCAGUGAACAGCCCCAGUACUAAGGGAAGAGGCGUUCUGAGGUCCGAGUUAGGUGCACAUCCGUCCAUAAUAAUAAAUAGCAUGUUGUUGGUGUUGUAGAGAUACUGUUUUCCUUUUGAUUAGUAAAGAUGUUGACUGUUGAUCGAUAGCAUAGUAAGUUCUGACUACAAUUUGUCGAUAACAAAGCUUGAACAGUUCAGGUAAGUAUUUGAAUUGGGCUUUAGAGAUUGUUGUUAUCAUCAUUCAUGCAGUUUUGGAAAGGAAGAAGAAAAAAAGGCAUCAUCAAUCAACUCGUAUAUGUUCGAGUUGAACCUAAUUGCUCUUUCGAUUUAUUGCUCCCAGAAAACAAAAGCAAUCAAUAAUAUUCAAUUAUCUCUUGGAUAUGCUUGAACCCACCUGUAGAACGUAUAUGAUUAUGCAUGCAAGCAUGUUAGCUGAACCGAAUAAAUGAUUAAAGACAAGCACUUUGGGUCCUCGGUCAGUCCUCAAUGUUCGAAAAACACCAGAGCGUAGGGCUCAGGAGAAUGAGAAGAUCAUGCCAAGAAGCAAAAUUGACCAGAAAAAAAAAGAAAA